rnacentral:lncRNA from 1 species
CCGCGUCCCCUAGGCGCAUGCGCAUUGCUCCGCACGAGGCGCCUGCCGACCACCCCGGCUUCCCUCUUCACAAGUCUGGCUUUUGUCACCAACGUUGCAGACUCUGGAACCCGACGGGUUCCCAGGUGGCGCUGUGAUCGAAGAGGAAGGGCCGAGGGGAAGCCUUUGAGAGCCACUGAUAUCUUCAUGAAGACCGCAUCCAGCAGCGCACCAUUCUCACGUGCUGGUGACAAGCGACCACGCGCGUCGGGAAUCCAUUCAUGGGGAUGCCCGCGUGGACCUGAGGGUUCUCCGGGCCCUUCCGAUUCCUGAGCCCAGCCUUGUUACAAGGUGUCCCGCCAGGGGCUCCGCCGGCGCUGCUCCCCGUGGCCCACAGGGCAGUCGCUGCUGUGGUAUCCGGGCAAAAACGGGUGCAGCAGACAAACCCAAAGGGAGGGCAGCCUGCAAAGCAGCUGACCGGUGUCGUCAACAGUGUCAAGGACACGAAGGACAAAGAGAAGACAGAGGACCCAUCCUCCCGAGGGGUUAAGGAGGUGUGAUCAUAAAUGUCAUUUGUGAUCUUGGAUUGAAUCCUGGUCCAGAAAAAGAGCAAUCUGAGGGAACUAGGGUAAGGUCUAUGGAUUAGUUAGUGGGAUUUUAUCAGGCUAGAUUCCUGGGUUGGUUUUUUGUUUUGUUUUGUUUUGUUUUUUCAGACAGGGUCUCGCUAUGUAGCCCAGGCUGGCCGGGAACUCUCAGCGAUCCUCCUGCCUCAGCCUCCCAAGUGCUGGGAUUACAGGUGUGCAUCACCAUGCCUGACUAGAUUCCUGGUGUUGAUUAUUUAUUUACUUGAGGAAGUUGGAUGAAAGGUAUGUAUGAACUCUGUACCACAUUUGCAACUACUGUAUUUAGUAAAUGUGAAGUCAUUUCAAAAUAUAAAAUAAAAAAU